rnacentral:rRNA from 1 species
AGUGAACGCUGGCGGUAGGCCUAACACAUGCAAGUCGAACGGCAGCACAGUAAGAGCUUGCUCUUACGGGUGGCGAGUGGCGGGCGGGUGAGGAAUACAUCGGAAUCUACUUUUUCGUGGGGGAUAACGUAGGGAAACUUACGCUAAUACCGCAUACGACCUACGGGUGAAAGCAGGGGAUCUUCGGACCUUGCGCGAUUGAAUGAGCCGAUGUCGGAUUAGCUAGUUGGCGGGGUAAAGGCCCACCAAGGCGACGAUCCGUAGCUGGUCUGAGAGGAUGAUCAGCCACACUGGAACUGAGACACGGUCCAGACUCCUACGGGAGGCAGCAGUGGGGAAUAUUGGACAAUGGGCGCAAGCCUGAUCCAGCCAUACCGCGUGGGUGAAGAAGGCCUUCGGGUUGUAAAGCCCUUUUGGUGGGAAAGAAAAGCAGCAGGUUAAUACCCCGCUGUUCUGACGGUACCCAAAGAAUAAGCACCGGCUAACUUCGUG